rnacentral:lncRNA from 1 species
UAAAAUUAUAACAACAACAAAUAUCAUCUAUCUAAUUAUCAAAAUCAUAAAAUGGGCUUUAUCAAAACAAGCAGGUUCAAUGAUUCAAUUACAUAAUCAGGCACUAAAUUACACGAAAGUGGCAAUUGGCAAAGCACAAUAAACACUAUCACACGCUGAAAUCUGAAUUACACCAAAGUGGUUAAGAACAAUAAACAAUAUUUUAAUAAAAACCGAAGCUAAAUUCAUCAACGACCCAAAAAUUGGACCAUAAUAUAGAUGGGUUAUCUGUAUAAUUUAUAAAUACAUGAAAAAUUGCACAAAAAAAUCACAUACAGAGAGUCAGAGACUUAGAGAAUGAGAGACUUAGAAAAAAAAAUGGCGAAUCGUGCCAGUGGGUUCACCAUUCACGCCGCUACAGCUAAUAGCUCAAUCGGUGAACUCAGGUGACUGGUUUGACGAGAAGGAAUUGGGAAAAGAAGUGAAGAACUCAAGAAGGGUUUGCCUCUGCCUGCCGAUUUUGAUGGGAAGGAAAUCAAGAAUUGGGGGAAAAUAGGAAACUGAUUCUGGAGUCG